GACGAACGCUGGCGGCGUGCUUAACACAUGCAAGUCGAACGGAAAGGCCCUGCUUGCAGGGUGCUCGAGUGGCGAACGGGUGAGUAACACGUGGGUGAUCUGCCCCUUACUUUGGGAUAAGCCUGGGAAACUGGGUCUAAUACUGGAUAGGACCAUGCUGUAGGUGGUGUGGUGGAAAGAUUAGUUUCGGUAAGGGAUGAGCUCGCGGCCUAUCAGCUUGUUGGUGGGGUAUUGGCUUACCAAGGGGUCGACGGGUAGCCGGCCGGAGGGGGUGGACGGCCGAAUUGGGACUGGGAGACGGCGCAGACUCCUACAGGAGGCAGCAGUGGAGCAGAGUGCAAAAUUGGAGCAAGCGCGAUGCAGCGACGCCGCGUGGGGGAGGACGGGCUUCAGGUUGUAAACUCCUAUCACCCAUGACGAAGCCCUUGUGGUGACGGUAGUGGUAGAAGAAGCACCGGCUAACUACGUG
rnacentral:rRNA from 1 species